AUUGAACGCUGGCGGCAUGCCUUACACAUGCAAGUCGAACGGCAGCACGGGAGCAAUCCUGGUGGCGAGUGGCGAACGGGUGAGUAAAGUAUCGGAACGUGCCCAGUCGUGGGGGAUAACGUAGCGAAAGUUACGCUAAUACCGCAUACGAUCGAUGGAUGAAAGCGGGGGAUCGCAAGACCUCGCGCGAUUGGAGCGGCCGAUAUCAGAUUAGGUAGUUGGUGGGGUAAAGGCUGACCAAGCCGACGAUCUGUAGCUGGUCCGAGAGGACGACCAGCCACCCUGGGACUGGGACACGGCCCAGACUCCUGCGGGCGGCAGCAGUGGGGAAUUUUGGACAAUGGGCGAAAGCCUGAUCCAGCCAUGCCGCGUGCAGGAUGAAGGCCUUCGGGUUGUAAACUGCUUUUGUACGGAACGAAAAGGUUUGGCCGAAUAAGCUGAGCUCAUGACGGUACCGUAAGAAUAAGCACCGGCUAACUACGUGCCAGCCGCCGCCGUAA
rnacentral:rRNA from 1 species